rnacentral:rRNA from 1 species
UAGUACGCAAGGAGUGGUCUCAGCGAUGCUCGACUAUAUUGGCCCCAUCGACGUAAUUAACUUCUGGCUGCUGCAAAGAAGGAAAACAAAAGGUUGGGGAUUAACACGGG